AAUAUAAUCACAUUAGAUGAAUAAAUUUCAAAGUAUAGUUGUAAGCACUUGACACAAAGUUUCUUCAUAACUGACUUGAUCACAAGGUUUUAUUAAUAUUGAUAUUUAUACUUGGAAAUGACUGGCUAAUUUUUUUAAUAGCUUAAUGUGACAAUGACUUUAUUUUCCUGAUAUUUUUGUUCGGUUGUUAUCUUUGCCUAUUUUGCCAUCACAUUCUAGAUACCAUUCAAGGUUUGCUUCAGGCCUUUAAUUCAAAAGCUUUUCUUUACUAUUACAGCACAUGAUACUUUCCAUCUCUGAAUUUCCAAGAAUCUCAGUUUUUAUACUGCUUACUUGGUACAUACCAAUUUUCUUGAGUUAAUUAUCAUCCUUUUUGUAUUGAUUCUUUCUCUGACAAAUUAUCAGCUCAUGGAAAGAACAGAAUAGUCAUUCUUUUUUUAUAUGUAAGAAAACUGAAGCAGAGUUUGAGUAGCUCAGAGCUAAUAACUACAUUAGGCUAAAUUUGAACUCAAGUAGUUCCCAGACUUGAAGUUCUGACCACUCUGCCAUCGAGCUCCCUGUGAUAUCUAGAUAGAUUAUCAAUCUAAAUUUAUGAGAAAUUUUACUGUGAUAAAUUAUCACACAGUAAAAACUCUAUUACUACAUAUUCUGGGCAUUCAGAGUUGAUAAGACAAAAUGCUUGGCUGACUUAGUAAAAGAUGUAUCUUUAAGGAAGCUGAGGUUGGUGCUAAAAAAGUAUUCUAUGCUUUAAACAAGUAUUGCCUACAGAAUAGUAUCUCAUUAAUAUCCUCAUUCUUGUGUAGAGAUGAUUCUAAUUGUUUUAAGACAAUGAUGACUUCAAAGCAUCACUCCUACCAGGCAAUAUCAAGCUAAAAAUUGUUCAUAUGUCAGCCUAAUUGCAGAGUAUAUUGCUUGGGGUUCAGCCUAUCUAAAUUUCUUCCCACUCUUUUUUAGAAGACCCUGCAACCAAUUAAGAAAGGUUCAGGUUCAGAAAAUACCCACAAUAGAGAUGAAAAUGCAAAAUGACCCUCAAUCUUACAUAGACCCUAUCUAUUUCCAUACUGGCAGAAAGGGAGAAAAGGAGACUAUUUGCUUGUUGGAGAAUAAAUAAGGACUUCCCCUCACUGAAACAGGAGCAUGUAAAACAUGACCAUAACAGAUGAAGAAAUGAUGGAAAACACUAAUAAUUUGCGACUGGAGAUGUGUUUAAAUCACUUGAAAGGAAGAUUCAAUAUAUAGGGAGAAGAAAAACAUUAUAACUAAGAAAUGAAAAACAAUGCCUAACAGUCAUAUCACAAUCUAGAUGAAAGAAGCUGAAGAAUAAAUUGAAAUGAUUUCAAUCUUAUGGAAAAAAA
rnacentral:lncRNA from 1 species